GUUACAGUGUUCUAAAAGGAGUCUUUUAAGACACCAAGUUCCAUGUUGUUCGACUUUUAGAAUUCUGCAUUUUGUUGUUCUACAUUCAGAACUACUGCUGUACGUUUGAAAUCAUCAAUCAUAGUCAUUCCUCCGUUGAUGAGAGAGGCUGGUGUCUUGGAAGGCUUUGGGCUGGAGGCCUGCGGCCUGUUGGCUGUGCAACCUUAAAUGCGUGGAGAAUACGGCUUUGUGUAUCCUGUGAGACUUACGUCCACCAGUCAAGUUCUCUGCCGUUAACCCAGUGUCGAGUGCGUGCCAGGCAUUAAAGACUAUUCCAACUGGCCCACCAUCCCGCAGGUGUACCUCAACGGCGAGUUCGUGGGGGGCUGUGACAUCCUUCUGCAGAUGCACCAGAACGGGGACCUGGUGGAAGAACUGAGAAAGCUGGGCAUCCGCUCCGCCCUUUUAGAUGAGAAGAAAGACCAAGACUCCAAGUGAGGGCGGCGCGGGUCGCCCUGAGCUCGACGCUCGGGAGCCCUGGGCUCAGAGACUCACUGCCAGAGAAGCCUUAGCGAUUUGGGUUUCACUGUCCCGACGGCUGCCUGCGCCGAUGCCUGCGGCGUGAGCGGUCGGCGAUCUCAGUGUGUCUGCUGUCGGGCUGAGAAUAUUCCAUUGUGAACUGAAUUAUAAGCACUGCGCUGUAGUAACUCAAUGUUGUAUCAUGAUCUUGCUAUAAACAAAAUUUGUUCUUAUAGUGUCCUUUGCUCUUUGCCUGAUUCAGGAGUAAAACUAGGAGCUUUUGAAUCAUCAUUAUUCACGAGUCCUCUGCGAAUGUGUCGGUCUGCAAAGAUGAUAUAUCCACCCAAGUUUUUUAUAACUUGUUCUGUUAAGAAAAAUGAUGGACAAAGAAGAAAAUGUGAUAACUGGGUAUUGUUUUUUAAAAUAAACUGCCAACCCAGGGA
rnacentral:lncRNA from 1 species